CACAAAAGAUAAAUUUGGAUUUAACUCGAGUUGCGUUUUCUAAUUGAGUAGACUUCAAGUAAACACCUAGCUCAAUGACACACCUAUUAAUGUCAACAUCAAAUAGCAAUGACAAAUUCUACCUCACACAUAACUAACAAACCAUAAGAAACAUAAAAUGAUCGCCAAGUUGUUUGAGCACAAUUGAUAAAGGAAGAACCACAUAAAAGGGAAAAC
rnacentral:misc_RNA from 1 species